UCAGGAGAGGGAGGCAGAGGUAACGGCGGUGGCGUGACCGUCGUGGACGGAGCUUAACGGUAAAAACCUCGAUCAGGUGGAGGAAUCGACGUGGACAUGAGAAAGGAGAGGGAGCUGCGGUAUUGAACAGAUACUGAACUCAACAUCUCAUCAUCAUUUAGUGAAGUCAUCAUCAGCACUCUGUAAACUGGCACUGACAGAGCAUGUCAGACCCAUUUCUCGAUGUCCUGGAAACUGCCGAUCAGGCUGAGGGCCUGCCCAUCUCCUCCCCUGGGGCCUUUCCUGGUCCUGAGGAUGAAGACGUGAAGCAUGGUGCGAGGGUCGGCAAGAGGAAGGACCGCUACCGACACAACCUGCAUCUUCUGAAGCCUUUCAGGACCUCAAAGAAGAAUAAGCAUCCAGUGGACAACGCGGGCCUUU